rnacentral:rRNA from 1 species
CGCUAGCGGCAGGCCUAACACAUGCAAGUCGAGGGGUAACAUAGAAAAGCUUGCUUUUCUGAUGACGACCGGCGCACGGGUGCGUAACGCGUAUACAACCUACCUUUUAGCGGGGAAUAGCCCAGGGAAACUUGGAUUAAUGCCCCAUAGUAUAUANNCUUCUCCUGAAGUUUAUAUUAAACAUUUAUGGCUAUUAGAUGGGUAUGCGUCCUAUUAGUUAGUUGGUAAGGUAACGGCUUACCAAGGCAGCGAUAGGUAGGGGUCCUGAGAGGGAGAUCCCCCACACUGGUACUGAGACACGGACCAGACUCCUACGGGAGGCAGCAGUGAGGAAUAUUGGACAAUGGGCGAGAGCCUGAUCCAGCCAUGCCGCGUGCAGGAAGACUGCCCUAUGGGUUGUAAACUGCUUUUACAGAGGAAGAACCACCCCCACGUGUGGGGGUUUGACGGUACUCUGCGAAUAAGGAUCGGCUAACUCCGUGCCAGCAGCCGCGGUAAUACGGAGGAUCCAAGCGUUAUCCGGAAUCAUUGGGUUUAAAGGGUCCGUAGGCGGGCAGUUAAGUCAGUGGUGAAAGUCUUCCGCUCAACGGGAGAACUGCCAUUGAUACUGAUUGUCUUGAGUUAUUAUGAAGUGGUUAGAAUGAGUAGUGUAGCGGUGAAAUGCAUAGAUAUUACUCAGAAUACCCGAUUGCGAAAGGGCAGAUCACUAAUAAUAUACUUGACCCUGAUGGGACCAAAAGCGUAAGGUUAGCGAAACANGGAUUAAGAUACCC